rnacentral:rRNA from 1 species
AACGAACGCUGGCGGCAGGCUUAACACAUGCAAGUCGAACGCAUCGCAAGAUGAGUGGCAGACGGGUGAGUAACGCGUGGGAACAUACCCUUUUCUACGGAAUAGCUCUGGGAAACUGGAAUUAAUACCGUAUAAGCCCUACGGGGGAAAGAUUUAUCGGGGAAGGAUUGGCCCGCGGUGGAUUAGCUAGUUGGUGGGGUAAAGGCCUACCAAGGCGACGAUCCAUAGCUGGUCUGAGAGGAUGAUCAGCCACAUUGGGACUGAGACACGGCCCAAACUCCUACGGGAGGCAGCAGUGGGGAAUAUUGGACAAUGGGCGCAAGCCUGAUCCAGCCAUGCCGCGUGAGUGAUGAAGGCCUUAGGGUUGUAAAGCUCUUUCACCGAUGAAGAUAAUGACGGUAGUCGGAGAAGAAGCCCCGGCUAACUUCGUGCCAGCAGCCGCGGUAAUAC